rnacentral:misc_RNA from 1 species
GAUGAAGAACGCAGCGAAAUGCGAUAAGUAGUGUGAAUUGCAGAAUUCAGUGAAUCAUCGAAUCUUUGAACGCACAUUGCGCCCCUUGGUAUUCCAUGGGGCAUGCCUGUUCGAGCGUCAUUUGUACCUUCAAGCUUUGCUUGGUGUUGGGUGUUUGUCUCGCCUUUGCGUGUAGACUCGCCUUAAAAUAAUUGGCAGCCGGCGUAUUGAUUUCGGAGCGCAGUACAUCUCGCGCUUUGCACUCAUAACGACAGCGUCCAAAAGUACAUUUUACACUCUUGACCUCGGAUCAGGUAGGGAUACCCGCUGAACUUAAGCAUAUCAAUAAGCGUAGGA